rnacentral:rRNA from 1 species
AUUGAACGCUGGCGGCAGGCCUAACACAUGCAAGUCGAACGGUAACAGGAAGAAGCUUGCUUCUUUGCUGACGAGUGGCGGACGGGUGAGUAAUGUCUGGGAAACUGCCUGAUGGCGGGGGAUAACUACUGGAAACGGUAGCUAAUACCGCAUAACGUCGCAAGACCAAAAAGGGGGACCUUCGGGCCUCUUGCCCUCGGAUGUGCCCAGAUGGGAUUAGCUAGUAGGUGGGGUAACGGCUCACCUAGGCGACGAUCCCUAGCUGGUCUGAGAGGAUGACCAGCCACACUGGAACUGAGACACGGUCCAGACUCCUACGGGAGGCAGCAGUGGGGAAUAUUGCACAAUGGGCGCAAGCCUGAUGCAGCCAUGCCGCGUGUAUGAAGAAGGCCUUCGGGUUGUAAAGUACUUUCAGCGGGGAGGAAGGGAGUAAAGUUAAUACCUUUGCUCAUUGACGUUACCCGCAGAAGAAGCACCGGCUAACUCCGUG